GACGAACCGUGCGAACGUUAUUCGGAAUCACUGGGCUUAAAGGGCGCGUAGGCGGGCCCGCCAGUCAGGGGUGAAAUCCCACGGCCCAACCGUGGAAGUGCCUCUGAUACUGCGGGGCUCGAGGGAGGUAGGGGCGUGCGGAACUCAGGGUGGAGCGGUGAAAUGCGUAGAUAUCCUGAGGAACACCGGUGGCGAAAGCGGCGCGCUGGACCUCUUCUGACGCUGAGGCGCGAAAGCCAGGGGAGCAAACGGG
rnacentral:rRNA from 1 species